rnacentral:rRNA from 1 species
UACGAAGGGGGCUAGCGUUGUUCGGAAUUACUGGGCGUAAAGCGUGCGCAGGCGGCUUCUCAAGUCAGGGGUGAAAGCCCAGAGCUCAACUCUGGAAUUGCCUUUGAGACUGAGAGGCUUGAGUACGAGAGAGGUGAGUGGAAUUCCCAGUGUAGAGGUGAAAUUCGUAGAUAUUGGGAAGAACACCGGUGGCGAGGGCGGCUCACUGGCUCGUAACUGACGCUCAUGCACGACAGCGUGGGGAUCAAACAGG